AGUUGGCAGCUCGUCGGGCUCAUAACCCGAAGGUCGUAGGUUCAAGUCCUGCCUCCGCAACCA
rnacentral:tRNA from 1 species